AGGGAAUGCGAACCGUUCGUUGUAAUGUUAGGAAAAGUUUUCUUUUUUCUAGGAGCCAUCUCCUUACUUAAUGCAGCUUAUUCGGCUAUACAACACAGAACUUAUUUACAACUCACUGAUGAGGAAUUUCAAGUUUUACCUAGUGACAUUAUUAUUCAAACACUUCUUGGCCUUCUUUUUUGUGGAAUAGCAAUUGUUUAUUCCUCCGAUAAAUUUCAUAAUAUUAAGUGCUCCCCUUUAGACACACCGUUUUUAGAAAAUCAACCCUCUUUCUACACUUUUCGACAUCGGGGAAACUUUAGAAUAGAAAAAUCUUAAUUAUUCCAAGUGUGUCCCGUAAUUUAUUUAGUGAGAUUCUG